rnacentral:sRNA from 1 species
UUUUAGCCCCGAUGGGAAUGGCAUCCUUUUAUGACUUCCGAUGAAUAUCGGGGAGUCAUAAAAGAUACAAUGGACAGCGGGAAUAGCU